GUUCACCUCUUGAAACAUGUUGGAAUUGGUUGAUAGUAGUCCAAUUGAAAAACGGAUUCGUUGUUGCCGUGCGUCUGUCCAGUGAUAGAUCAAAAACGACGUCCAAAUAUGGAACAAACAAAAAAGUGGCGCACGAGGCGCAGGUAUUGAUUAAUUUCUUCGAUAAUGUGCUCGUCGUUGUCAGUGCUGUCAUUAACAGUGCAUGUCAAUUCUUAUGGUUUUGGAGAGGAAAAAACAGAUCUCAAAACGACGGUUCGCUGUAUAGUCGGCUUCAUGUGGUUGCCCUCAUACCUUUUUAAACCGUUUCAUAAUAAAACCAGGAGGGACAUAGAAGAUUAACCUUAGGAGAUGUAUAAGGAACAGUGUGGAGAAUAUGUGUACUGAUGUUUGGGCGAAAAGGGUUAAAAGCGUUCUACAUCAACCAAUUGUCGCGGGAAGUUGACAGGCAGUACUACUUAUGCAUCUCUUUGAGACAAGCAAUUACUAUGUUUCGCGAUUUCACCCGUUGUUACAACAUUGAAGAUCUUAAGUAGGAGCCGAACGGGUGCGGUAGGUCUGCAGGUGGCACAGUACAACAAGUUUCAUAAUCCAAUGUCAGGAGUCGAUGGAAGCUGCGAUAGCGCGACAGUGUAAAGAACCUAUUUGCUAGCAUAAAGUAGUAAGUUUGUCUUCAUUAUUCGCAACGCAAGUAUGAUAAGUCUUUGCUAAGUUGGUCCUGAAACCAAUUCCACAUCGCGUGAACGCCAUUCAUGCAUUGUGAUUCCGCGCAAGCUAGCUUUCAGAGGGGCUGAUGUUAUGUUUCACACCACCCACAAUACCACGUGUUACUGAUUGUGGGUGGUGUGAAACAUAUGCCAAGUACUGAUCAGUGUAUGUAGGCUUCCUAUGUACGCCGGUGGCGAGGCGGCUGUCAGGAGUUAUUGACGUUUCCACGAUCCGGGAUGGUGAAGAUGUCGUCUACGUAGCGUCUCCAGAUCCUUUGCAUGUAGGAUGAUGAGUUCUUCAAAACUCUCCAUGUGGAAGUUAGCAAUAAUAGAGGAAACUGGGCUUCCCAUGGCUGCGCCUUCUUGUUGUUUGUAAAUCGAUCCAUUCUACUGGAAGUAUGUGGAUCUCAAAACGACAUUCCGAAGGUCGGCGAUUUGAGUAGGUGUUAGCGCCGUGCGGUCUGGGUGGCUAGAGUCGUUCUCCAGUUUCUGCAUCGUGGCCUGUACAGCGCCUUUGAUAGGAACAUUGGUAAAGAGGAACUCUACGUUGAAAGACACCAUGAUCGCGUCGUCAAGGAUCGCCUCACUGCUCAGGGUUGCUUACGCGCUAAAGGAGACAAGAUGUU